UGGGGAAUCUUGGACAAUGGGCGCAAGCCUGAUCCAGCCAUGCCGCGUGAGUGAUGAAGGCCUUAGGGUUGUAAAACUCUUUCGCCGAGGACGAUAAUGACGGUACUCGGAGAAGAAGCUCCGGCUAACUUCGUGCCAGCAGCCGCGGUAAUACGAAGGGGGCUAGCGUUGUUCGGAUUUACUGGGCGUAAAGCGCGUGUAGGCGGGUCGUUAAGUUGGGGGUGAAAUCCCGAGGCUCAACCUCGGAACUGCCUCCAAAACUGGCGACCUGGAGCAAGAUAGAGGCGAGUGGAAUUCCGAGUGUAGAGGUGAAAUUCGUAGAUAUUGGGAAGAACACCAGUGGCGAAGGCGGCUAACUGGUCCGGUACUGACGCUGAGGUGCGAAAGCGUGGGGAGCAAACAGGAUUAGAUACCCCAGUAGUCCCUGAGCGGGCUGGCAAGGCGCAU
rnacentral:rRNA from 1 species